rnacentral:tRNA from 1 species
AAGGCUCAGUGGUAGAGCAUCUGCCUAGCAAGUACAAAACCUUGAGUUCAAAUCCCAGU